UGUCUAAGUAUUUCUGAACAAUAGUAAAUUCUGAAGGACAGAGUAUGUGAAUUAAUACCAGAAAGUAUAUAUUACUAGUUAGUAGAACUGCUACUUGAGCUGAGUUGCUGACAGACAGCAGUUUUCAAAGUGUAAACUAAUCAGUAGACCCACAUGUUAUCAGUAACACGUCUGGUAAAGAUGGUGGAGGAGCUUUUCAAUGAUAUGGUUUUAUGUUUAUCUCAGGGUUUCUCCAUCCUUUUGUUCUUACCAGCACUUACACACCUGAUUCAACUAAUCAUCACAUAUUUUAAGACAGUUUAAUAUUUGAGGCAUACAAAUGAACAUUCUCAAAUUAAAACCUUUUGGAUUUGGUAAACCUGUUAACAAUUAUUAAAGGCCUACAGUAAUGUAAGAGAGACGUCUCGAAGAAGGACUAUACAUUUUUUUGAAGCAAGAUGCGGCACAAUGUCAUGAUUUACUGCUGUCGCAUGAAGCUGACUGUUAGCGCCACCCUCUGGUUACUGUUGUUAUGUGAAGGGGUGACGCCUUGACUGCAGUUGAAAUUGAAAACAGAAAGUAUCUGUACAGGGCCAUUUUGAGAUGACAGAGCAGCUCAUAGUUGAAUCUCUAAACUGCAACGCAGUUUCACAGUAAAGUGAGUAUUUCAGGUUAAUAAUCUAGAAUAAAGUAGAGGGGACAUGUGGAAUACAGUAAACUAGUGUCUGAGUGCUGCUGAGUCAUUCCUACCAUGAAAUAUCAGUUCUUAUUUAGUGAAAGCUGAAAUAAAUCAUUCUCUCUACUAUUAUUCUGACAUUUCACAUUCUUUAAAAUAAAGUGGUGAUCCUAACUGACCUAAAACAAGGACUUUUUACGAGGAUUAAAUGUCAGGAAUUGUGAAAAACUGAGUUUAAAUGUAUUUGGCUCAGGUGUAUGUACGUGUAUAUAUUAAUUUACUGCUCUAAGGAUAUAAUUAUUGUUUACAUCACCUUAUUACUAUUAUGUUUAGAUUUUUCCCUUCCAUUUGUUUUACUAUUUAUGUGAUGUGCAAUGCAGAGA
ensembl:lncRNA